rnacentral:tRNA from 1 species
GCCUUUGUGGUGUAACGGUAGCACACUCGGCGCGUAUUCGAGAGGUCCAGGUUCGAAUCCCGACGAGGACA